GCUACGGGUGGCAGCAGUGGGGAAUUUUGGACAAUGGGCGCAAGCCUGAUCCAGCCAUGCCGCGUGCAGGAUGAAGGCCUUCGGGUUGUAAACUGCUUUUGUACGGAACGAAAAGGUGCCUUCUAAUAAAGGGCGCUCAUGACGGUACCGUAAGAAUAAGCACCGGCUAACUACGUGCCAGCAGCCGCGGUAAUACGUAGGGUGCGAGCGUUAAUCGGAAUUACUGGGCGGAUUUUGUGCGCAGGCGGUGAAAUCCCCGGGCUCAACCUGGGAACUGCCUUUGUGACUGCAAGGCUGGAGUGCGGCAGAGGGGGAGGGAAUUCCGCGUGUAGCAGUGAAAUGCGUAGAUAUGCGGAGGAACACCGAUGGCGAAGGCAAUCCCCUGGGCCUGCACUGACGCUCAUGCACGAAAGCGUGGGGAGCAAACAGGAUUAGAUACCCGAGUAGUC
rnacentral:rRNA from 1 species